CUACGGGCCGCAGCAGGCGCGAAAACUUUACAAUGCACGAAAGUGUGAUAAGGGAAUCCCAAGUGCUUUACUAUCAGUAAGGCUUUUGCCAUGAGUAAAUAUCAUGGCGAAUAAGUGGUGGGUAAGACUUGUGCCAGCCGCCGCGGUAACACCAGCGCCACAAGUGGCAACCGCUAUUAUUGGGCCUAAAGCGUCCGUAGCUGGUUCAGCAAAUUUCCUGUGAAAUCGUACCGCUUAACGGGACGGCGUGCAGGUAACACUACUGAACUAGGGACCGGGAGGCGUCAGAGGUAUUCCGGAGGGAGCGGUAAAAUGCUAUAAUCUUCGGAGGACCCCCAGUGGCGAAGGCGUCUGACGAGAACGGAUCCGACGGUGAGGGACGAAAGCCAGGGGAGCGAACCGGAUUAGAUACCCUGGUAGUC
rnacentral:rRNA from 1 species